rnacentral:rRNA from 1 species
UACGGAAGGCAGCAGUGGGGAAUAUUGCACAAUGGGCGCAAGCCUGAUGCAGCCAUGCCGCGUGUAUGAAAAAGGCCUUCGGGUUGUAAAGUACUUUCAGUCGUGAGGAAGGUGUUAAGGUUAAUAACCUUAGCAAUUGACGUUAGCGACAGAAGAAGCACCGGCUAACUCCGUGCCAGCAGCCGCGGUAAUACGGAGGGUGCGAGCGUUAAUCGGAAUUACUGGGCGUAAAGGGCACGCAGGCGGUUAAUUAAGUUGGAUGUGAAAUCCCCGGGCUUAACCUGGGAAUGGCAUUCAAGACUGGUUAGCUAGAGUCUUGUAGAGGGGGUAGAAUUCCAUGUGUAGCGGUGAAAUGCGUAGAGAUGUGGAGGAAUACCGGUGGCGAAGGCGGCCCCUGGACAAAGACUGACGCUCAUGUGCGAAAGCGUGGGGAGCAAACAGGGAUUAGGAUACCCG